rnacentral:lncRNA from 1 species
UUUAUAUUAUAAAACAAACUAGAGUAUAGUAUACCUCUCUCAUUUAUUUAAACCAAACUACAAGUAGGGUAGUUGGAGUGAGACAAACUUAGAGAUUCAUAUUCUUAGCUUUUGCAACAUGGUUGCUUUGGUCGAAUUUCAAAACUUUUAAAGAUCAAUCCCGACUUCCAAUGUUGAUUGUGGUUAUACAUGCUAAACUCGUACUCCUUAGCAUUCAAACAACCAUGUUUAUCGCCAAUCUUGAAUUCCUCGACCUUGAUCGUAAACCAAACAUCUCGUGGCUUACAUUCUAGGCUUUCACUGUUCACAAAUUUUGUCCCAUUUGGCAAGGUGAGUCCAAAGUUAAUAGGUUCAUGCCAUCCCGAUGCACACGACUUUAACAAAAGAUGACAUAAUAGUUCAUAUGUAACGCCAGCUGAUAGCAUAUAUUCCUUGAUCCUUACACGUACAUCUAGCCAACGAACUUUUACAAGCUCAGCCACGUCAAUUUUCUUACUGCCAAAGUUUUUUUACACCAUCAUCAACAAAUAAACAACUUUUAAAAUAAUGACCGACUACUUAAAAAAAACUACUUAUUAUAUUUUUUAAACCUCGUAUUCAUCUCUAUGGUUUCACAAAAAGUUAAGUUCAAUUUAAUCUUGUCAAUUUUUAGAAAGUAGUUUCAUUAGUGAAACAUUUAUCAAAUCAUAGAGACUAAUUUAAUCUACUUUGUUCCGUAAAACCAUUUCACAAAAUUACACCCAAACAACCCUUUUAAUUUUGAUUAGUAAAUAAAUAAUGAAGAUUAAAGUUCAUUCAUUCAAACCUAAUCUAUCUCUUCUUUUGUGUUUUAUUUUUUCAUUUUUUUUAUCUCAGUAUAUACCUUCCAUAAUUCAUCAUUUCAUUUUUCAACACAUAAAAAAAAAGAAAAACAUAAAAAAAGAAAAAGAAAAAGAAAACCAAUUCAAAUUUUGUUCUCGUAAUUUAAAUUUUGUUUAAUUUUAAUAAACUACUUUCCAUAAUAAAUCUUAAAUGUAGCUUACAUGAAUAUGUGUUUUCUAAAUUUAUGGGAAAAUUAAUAUUGUUUAUACAUAACAAAGAGUUUAUUUAUUUAUGUAAAAUCAACCAUAAACUAACAAUAUGGAUUAAAACUUAUUGAAAGGAGAAAGAACUAAUAACCUGCUUUCAAAUAUAAUCAACUAAGUUAACUAACUUACAAAUAAAUAUAUAGCAAAUUAAAUCGAUGUAGACACUGACAAUAUAUAUAAGUGUAAAUUGUGACAUUUUAUUAUAUUAGAAAAUUGAUAUUUCAAAAUAUAGAAACGAAGACGAUAUUUAAUGCGGUUAGAAAAAAUAAGAAUACCCAAAAAUCUCGAUAGAUAUCCAUCUCCAGUACUGACAUUCAUUGAUCCAAGCUAUUGAGAUGGCUUUUGGAAAUAUGAAGUAGGCAUUACCCCUUCCCUUCCUAUGAAACCAAUAAAUCUGCAUACAAACUAAUCAUAAUCAACUCUUUAACAAAUUUUAAUUAAAGAUAAAUAAUAAUAAUAAUAACAAAAAAGAAAUUUCCAUAUCUUCUGUGUUUUAAGUUUAUUUCUAUGUAAAAAAAAUUGAACGCUAAUAUCAAGAUUUGUUCGAGAAUCAUUUUAAUAUUUGGUUCUAUACUUUUAACUAAGUAUUUUUUUUUCUAGUAAAUAUUUGGUUUGAUACUUGUAGAAAUAGUUUUGUUCCAUGUAUGAUCAAUUGAAAUAAUUUUUUCAAGGACUAAUGUUUUUUUGUUUUUAAUGUUAGUUGUAGAAUCAUCCAAUUACUAAAAGAAAUUUAGAUUAAAAACAAUUACAUGCAUAUGCAUGGAAGUUAAGAUUAUUAGAUGUAAAGAAGAAAUUUAGAAAUAGAACAAACACAAUUUUAGAAGAAAAGUGAUUUGAGACAAGUUGAAAUGAGUGAUUUUAGUCUUUACAAAAUCACUCAUAAUCAUAUCUUUUUAACUCUUUUUAUAAGUCCUUCUAAUAUCAACUAUAUAAUACUCUAAAAGAAAUUAAAAAUAAUGUUACACUUGCCUUAGAUCCAUUGUUGAGGGAAGUCCCAUCACAAAGUUGUUUAUAGAGCUCAGAGGGGGAGGGCCAGUGCACCUCAUGAUCUCCAGUUGUUGGCAAAAUAUAACUCAAGCAAUGACCAUAUUUCUCUUUUGUUUCCGAGUUCUCUCUUGCUUCAAGCUCUGAGGAAACCAUUUCAAGAGGUUAACUUGGAUAGUAAGAGAGUAGAGAUAUGGAUGAAGAUGAGAGUGGUGUAAAACGUGCACACACACGUAUAUAUAGGCUCUAUCUUGUUUCGUAUAAUAAUGUUUUAAAGAUGGGACGUGACAAUUAGCUAUUAUAAUGUCCCUUAUCUUUAGCUAUUUGAUAAUUUUAAAAAGCAACGAUUUAAUUAUGGUCAAAAUAAGAAUUACUCAAAGUGUUAUAAUACAUGCACUAGAAUUAAUUUCAAGAUUAAACUUUUGAUUCUCUUCACACCUCGUUUGUCUAUAGUAAAAAAAAAAAGAAAAAAAGUAAAUGAUUUAAUUCUCUAUAUCUCAUUUUUUUCCUCUCUCCUUCCCUAUUAGCUUUUUCUUUCACAUACAUGUACCUUUUUAUACAUUAAUUUAAAUUUAAAUAUUUUGAUUAAAUCUAUAAUUGAAUCCAUUACAUGAAAAUUAACUUCACAACAAUAUAUAGAAUUGACAUAAUUAAUUAUUUUAACCAAUUAUGUAGUAUUUAAUAAAAUUUAAUUAUGUAACAAUGUCUUGGCUUGACUGAUCCUCCCCUCAACAAAUGCCUCUUAUACUUGGUCCAACCUCAGAGUUUCUGUUCUCUGCAGACUUGACAUAUUCCUAUAUUCCUCGUCCGGGGAAAGCAAGUUUACCAAUCAUUUUAGCAAGCUUCUAUUUUGCUUGAAUCAAAGAACCUCAAAUGGGAUCUGGUUCCCUUCAGGAUCAACAAUUGUAUGCAGAAUGAAAAAGAGUUACUUAAUAAAGUGGUUAGUUGUUGGCCAAACACUGCACAAGAGAGAUAUCUUGGCUAUGCUUUCAUGCGAAGACUGAGACAAUUGACCAGAAAAAUCAAAAGUUGGCAGUUCGAGAAGAAAAAUGCAUCUAAAAGGGAUAGUGAAGCUUUCAAAUCUGAGAUAGACAAGAUUGACUUGCUGGAAGCCUAGAAUGCCCUUAUAUUUAUUUAUAGUGACCAAAGGAAAAUCUUAUAGACCGACCUUGCUGAUCUUAUUUUCAAAGAAUCUCAAUACUGAACUUAGAGAGCUAAAAAAAUGUGGCUGGAAGAAGGAGAAGAAAACACCAGCUUUUUUCAUAAGGUUUGCAAUGCCAGAAGGAGGAGGAAUUAAAUAUUCGAUAUUUACGAUAGCAUAGGCUCUUGUUCUAAUACGAAUGAUGGCAUUGAAAGAGCUUUUAUUGAUGACUACAACUCCAUCUACUCCUCCAACAAUAAUAAUCCUCCCUCUGUCAUUGAGAAUCUCAAUUGGCAACCUAUAGAUAAUUCUCAAUCCACUCACCUUAAAACUCCUUUUCCUUUGGAAGAAAUCAAAGAGGCACUUUCAUCUUUUCACAGUAAUAAAGCACUAGGGCCAGACAGAUACACUAUAGACUUUUUUUUAAAAAAAAAUUGAAACAUUUUCAAGCCAAAUAUAUUGGAAGUGUUCUAGGAUUUUUUUCAAAAAUGGUGUGAUAAACAAAAAUAUGAAUGAAACAUAUAUCUCUCUAAUUGCCAAGAAAGAUAAAUGUAGGACUGAUGCAGAUUAUAGGCCUAUCAAUCUUACUACCUCCGUAUACAAGAUUCUUGCCAAGACUUUAGCCACAAGAGUGAAACUAUUAUUGCCUCAUACUAUAUCGAGCCAUCAAAUGGCCUUUAUUGACGAAAGAUAAAUUACUGAUGCAAUCUUAAUUACUAAUGAAGUCAUUGAUUUCUGGAAACGCAAGAAGAUAAAAGGCCUGAUCUUCAAGCUUGAUAAUGAAAAAGCUUUCGACAAGAUCAAGUGCAACUUCACUAUGCCUUGAUGAAAAAAAAAAAUCGGAUAUAUGGAGAAGAUGGAUGCAAUCCUUCAUUCCAACGGCUCAAUCUAUAUUUUGAUAAAUGGUAAACCAAGGGGGAGGAUCAUUCCUGAAAGAGGCAUCAGGCAAGGAGAUCCCAUUUCUCCCUUCAUAUUCGUGAUAGCUAUGGACUACCUCAGUAGAAUACUACAACACCUCGAACAAUCAAAUAUGCUUACAAGUAUAUCCAUCAAAGAUUUCAAUCUUACUCAUCUUCUCUUUGUAGAUGGUAUCUUGCUCUUUGUUGAGGAUAAAGAUGAAAAUAUAUAAACAUCCAAUAUGCUAUACACCUUUUUAAGGCGGCAACUGGUCUAAAUUAAACAUUAACCUUUCAAAAAUCUACCAUCUCUCCAAUAACGUUUUCACUGAAAGAUCAGAUCAUAUUGCAAAAAACUGGGGAAUAAAAUUGAAUUCAUGCCCAUCUCAUUCGGGUAUGCCGUUGGGGGUAAACCAAGCUCCAAACCUUUUUGGGACAACAUAAUAGAGAAGGUUUAGAAAAAAUUGAGUAACUGGAAAUACUCUCACAUUUCCAAAGGUGAGAGAACCACUCUAAUAAAGUCUUCCCUAUCUGUUUCCAAAGCCCCAUUACAGACAUGUGUAAAGUCAUUGAAAAGUAUUGAAGGAAUUUUCUUUGGAGAGGCAACUUUGAAAAUACUUGCAAUUCAAGCAACCACAAAAAAAAUUUAAAUCUAGAGGUCCAUCAUUGAGGCUAAAUAUUCAACUACUUGUCUGGAUGAUUUUUCCAUUAUUGCUAAAUAUAGCCGUCUAAAUGGUUCAUGCAUGAAGAUCCAUUUGCAAAGAUGUGAAAUGGUUUAACUCUCAUUUGGGCUGGAAAAUGAAAAAUUGCAUAAUGUUAUCUUUUUGGCACAGUAACUGGAGUUCAUUUGGUCCUCUUUACAAUUCUUUAACCAGAUUAUAUGCUCUUUCCACUCAGGAAAAUGGCUCCCUCAGAGAUAUGUGAAAUUUUGAACAAUGUGGGUGAGAUUUACACAAUAGAAGGCCCCUAAGAGAAAGAGAAGCUUCACAGUGAAGUAACAUUAGUGCAAACUUGCCCCCCGCUCCCAUUCCGAAAAACAAUCAAUUGGAUUGCUUCAUUUGGAAACCAAACAGAAAUAGUUCUUUUAUAGUUCAAUCUGCUCAAUUUGUCAGCCUUGCCUCUACCUUCUCUUCUCCUACCUUAGAUGGUCCCUUCUCCUACCAUUCAUGAACAUAUGGAAAUCAAAGAUUUUUAAAAAAUACAAAAUUUUCCUAUGGUUUGUUAUCCCACAAAGGAAUCUUUACAAAUGAGUCGAUUCAACACAUGCUAAAAAAUCUUUGUCUCAACCCAAAUUGUUGCAUCUUAUAUAAAAAUAGUAGUGAGACCACAUAUCACAUCUUCCUCCAUUGCUCUAUUGUCAAAUCUUUUUGGAACAAAGCAAAGGAUCUCACAGAAUCGGCAAAUAAUGUUGACAACCUUAUAGCUUUAUGCAAUCACAUCUGCACUAUACACGUUAAGUUUCAAAAGGGUUUGAUUCUUUUCAAACUUCUGAUGGACAUCACUUGGACAACUUGGUUGGACAGAAACAACAAACUCUUCAAUAAUAGUUAGGCCUCCUCCAUUAAUCUAUGGGAGAAUAAAUGCAACCUCACUAGUUUUUGGUUUACCAAACACAAGCUCUUCAAAACAUUAUUAUGCUUCUACAAUAGCUUUAAAUAUCAGUAUUUUUUGUUAGUUUAUGAGCUCUUACAUUAUGACUUAUCUUUAGCCUAUUUGUAACUGUUUUGAACUAUGUAUCCCUAUGUGCUUUAUUGAAUAUAUUUAUGAGAAUGAUGAUGACACUAAGAGGGUGUCCACCUAGUGGGGAUGCUUGGGUGCGCCUGCUGACCCAUCAAGUAUCAUUUUCUAAAAAUUGAAUGAGGAAUUGAAGUGUGUACUUAAUGAGCCAUUUGGGGCGAGGAGUAACUUAUGAUAAAUAGUUUAGGGAUUAUAAUCGUCUGAGUAUUAUAAUAGUGUGUGGAUUAUUAUAGUCUGCAUUUGGGUGUAGACUAUAAUAGUAUGUUUUCAUAGUCUACGUUUAAGGUGUAGACUAUUAUAGUCUGUGCCAUUAUAAGCUGUGUUUAAGAUGUAGACAGUUAUAAUAUGAGUUUUUCACUAUUUUUUUUGUGUACAUAUAUAUUGUACAUGAAAUACACAUUUUACUUCAAUCGAUUUUAUUAAAUUUGGUUAAUUAGGAUGCUCAUCUAAUAAAUUUAGCUUCAAACUAGAUUUUCCACCGCAUACAUGAAAUACACAUUUUUCUUACAUGAAUAUAGUAGUUUUGCAUUUUCAUUAUAAUUAUAGAAUACAACAAUAAACAUAAUCAAAUGGACCAUACUACUUUUCAAAUUACCAUUGAUAGAUUACAUUUCCUCCAAAAUAAACAUGGUCUUAAUUCAUUUACGUGGGUAAAAGAAAAAUGAGAUACGUAAAGAUGAAUACAUCUUGAGAUUUAUCUAAGCAUCGUUGUUUUUAAUUUUUUCACAAAAAAUUACUACAAAAUCAUACAUUGUAUCGAAACAUUUUUCCUUUUUUAUCACAUACUAGUUGUAAGCAUAUUUUUAACUUUUAAAAAAGUUUAAUUAAGUAUAAAUGUAACUUGAAAAAUAUUUUUUAAACAAAAUACCAUGGUCCUAGUUUUUAUAAAGAACACUAACAACUGAGAUAAUUUUCUAUAAUUUAGUUAGAGAACAAGACCUUUAUUAGUUAAAAUUAAAAUAUUUGGAUAAGAGUGAUAGGAACUAACUCAUAUGUUAAAGAAUUAUUUUAAUAUUUGGUUUCUCAAUUUUGAAAAGUAAAUAUAUUUUUUUUUGGUAAUAUUGUGAUAAAUCAUUUCAAAUAUAAUUUGGGUUUUAUACGUGUAGAUAUAGUUUUUUUUUCAAUGUAGGAUCCAUUUAAAUUUAAUUGAAAAUAAUUUUUUAAAUGAUUAAUGUUUGCUUUUUUGUAGGUUAGUUUUAGAAUCAUCAAAUUUAAAAAAGAAAUUUAAAUUUUAGAUUAAAAACAAUUAAAAUAUUUAUAAACUAUAAUAAAAUUUUAGAUUCUAUCAAUAAUAAAAACUGAUAGACUUCUAUUACUGGAUAUCAAUGCCACUAAUAUAAACAUAUCAAUGCAUGACUAUCAAUGUCUAUUACUGAUAGAAUCUGAAAAUUUUACUUGUAUAUAUUUUGUCAAAUUUGCUAUUUUUUACAAUUCCCCUAAAAAUAAUUGGAUGCAUGAAAGAUUAUUAGACGUAGAGCAGAAAUUUGGAGAUAGAAAAAACACCAUUUUAGAAAAAAAGUAAUUUGUGAUUUUAAUCGUUUCAAAACCACUCCCAAACAUAUCUUUUAACUUCUUUAUAAAUCCUUCUAAUAUAAACUAUAUAAUACUCUAAAAAAACUUACAAAGAGUGUUACACUUGCCUUAGUUCCCUUGUUUAGGGUGAUCCCAUCACAAAGUUGUUUAUAAAGCUUAGCAUAGGUAGGCCGUUUAUAAAGCUUAGCAUAGGUAGGCCAAUGCACCACGAUAGUUAGAGUUCUUGGCAAAAUAUAAGUCAGUCAAUGACCAUAACUCUCUUGUACUUGCGAGUUCUCUCUUGCUUUUGUCUCUAUGCAAACCAUACUUGAGGAGGUUAAUUUGGAUUAUUAAGAGAUCGGAGAUGUGGAUGAAGAUGAGAGUGGUGUGAGGAACACAAACACACAUAUAUAUAGGCUCUUGUUUCGUACAUUAAUGUUUAAAGAAUAGGACAUGGUAAUUAGCUAUUUUGAUGUCGCUUGUGUAAAGGUAUCUGAUACUUUUAAAAGUAACGAUUUAAUGUCAAGGUGAGUAUUACUAUUUAUACUGUAAAUUAAUUUUAAGAUUAGACCUUUUAAUUUUCUAUGGUCAAAAAAGGAAAAAAAUAAAGUAAAUGGUUUAAUUCUCUAUAUCUCUUUUUUUUCUUUUUCUCUUCCCCCUUAACUUUGUUUCACAUAUAUCUAUUUUUUUUAUACAUUAAUUUUUAUUUUUAUUUUUAAAUUAAAAUGUAUUAUAUGAAAACUAACUUCAUAACAAUCUAUAGAAUUAACAUAAUUAAUUAUUUUAACCAAUUCUGUAGUAUUUAAUAAAAUUAAGGUAUGAUUGAGUGAGGAAUUGAAGUGUGUACUCUUUUUAUUGGUUAGAAUAUAUUACAUUUUAGUAUUUUAUGGGAAAUUUUAAUCAGUAAAAUAAUCUAUAUAUAUCAAUUUAUACUAUGAGAAUUUACAAAAAUAACAAAAGAAAAAAUCUAGUAUUUACAAAAAUAAUAAAAGAAAAAAUUAAGAUAAUAGAGUCCAUGUCACUUACAUUUUCAAAAUUAUAAAAAUAGCAAAUUUAAAAGUAGAUUACUGUUUGAUUACCAUCGUAUUUGCCAAAUUUGCACUAUGCAAAAAAGAGGUGUUAUAGACUUUUUUUUAUAAUUUUUUUGUCAUCUAAUGCAAUUUCCUUUUACAUUAAUCCGCUUUUUUUCUUUUCAUUAUGACAUCUUUUCGCAAAUAUAAUUGUUGUUGCUCUUUAGUUUGUAUCUCACAUAUGGUACGAUUCCUCUUCUGAUCAAUUCUCUAGAAAAUCUCGCAUACCAAUCAGAACAACAAAUGAUUAAAUCGUCUAGUUGAACAAAAACUGCAAAACAGAAAACAUGUUAGUAGAUGACUGAGUCGCAGAUCACGCUCUCUUUAAGAUGUUUCGCGACUCUGCUCUCUUUGUGCAAACAAUAUGAUAGCCUCGUCGUCUCUAGGAUAAAACAGCCUUGAUCUUCAAUUGGUUUUGCAUAGAAACCAACUGAAAUUCACAAACACUCAAGAUGAUAUUGUGUUGCUUAGUACACAAAAAGUAAUUUUGUUUUGGGAGAGUAUGAAAUCAGGAGAAUUUUCUUUUUCUACGAUGUUUAGGUGAAGAAAGACUGUAUAUAUAGAAGUGGAGAGGGUUAAUGACCAAUUAAUCUAGAAAAUGAAAAUAAUUAUCAAUUAAUUCAGAAAAUAAAGGUUUUGGAAAGUCAAAAGUCAAAGAAAAACGUUUUAGUAAAAAUAUAUAUUAUUUUAUUCCUCCUCGCCCACUCGAGGAGGUCGUGUGGAGAUAUGAGCAUAUCUACAUUUGCCUAUCUCCUUUCUCCUACCAAGAGUCCAAACCAUUAAUGAAUCAAUGGGUAUAUGAAGCGACUUCCACAUUGCAAAUUAAGCAACAUGGGAAUGCAAUGUGGAAAUAAAAUAAUAAUAUAUUUCUUCUUUCACACAUUUUUCAUCCAAUAAUAACAAAGCAGAAAAAUAUUUACACCGUAUAGAAUAAUUUUUAAAAUAGAAAAAGCUCAUAAACCCACUAUGAAAAAUUCCAAAAAAGCUCGAUUAAUUGACAUCCAGCACACGUAAUAUAUUUGGCAAACGAUUGUUUAGAUUUGAUCAUUUUUCCUACAUGAUUGUUUAGAUUUGAUCGUUUUUCCAAAUCAAAAUGAUGUUUUUAUGUUUUUUUUUUUUUUUUGUACACGAUUGUUUGUGUUUAUCGUUUAAAUUUGGGUUGUCAAAUCUCAACGGUUUUUUUUCAAGAUUUUUUGGAACUCGUUUAUAUAAGGAAAAGACCGUUUAAAUUUGGUAAUGAUCGUUUAUAUUUGAAACACGAUCGUUUAUAUUUGACCGUUCCAAAUCUAAAUGAUUUUUUAAAGAUUCUUUGUACAUGAUCGUUAAGAUUUGACUAUCCAAUAUCUCAACAAUUUUUUUUCACGAUUUUUUUAUAUUUGGAAUAACUAAAUAUCAAUUUGAAAACUAAAAAAUUACACAAGAAGAGAAAAUGAUGAUGGAAAGAAAAAAAAAUUCGUAGAAGAGAAAGAAAAGAAAGACGAUGAAAAUGAAAAGGCAAACCUGAAAUAUUUUAAAUGAAUUUGUAUUACAUAAUGAACCAUCUUAAUUUAUUAAUGCCUAUACAUAAUAUAUAUUGUAUUACAUACCGUUUCAAAAGUAACGAUGUUUUCUUUCAACACAAAUAUCAAAUAUAGUCAUUAUCCACAAAAUAUAUUAACAUGACAUUUUCAAAUAUAGUAUAAUAUACCAAAAUAAUUAUAAAAUAUAACAAAAUUUUAGAGAUUGUUAACCAAUGUCUAUUAGUGUCUAUCAUUGAUAGAUAUAAUAUUUUGUAAAUAUUUUUAAUAAUUUUGUUAUUUACAAUAAUGUUUGUAGCUUGGUUCCUGUUUUUUCUUCGGAGAAAAGAAAAAUGAAAACAAAAUUGGUAUUUUAGUAUCAAGCAACUGUCAUUCCCUUAGGAAAAUACAUUUCAUAUAGUUUCACGAAGGAUAUACUUUAUCAAUAAAGUUAAGUCUCUGUUAACUUUAAUAUUAACUUUAACUUUAAUAUUUUUAGUUUCAUAUUAGAUUGAUACAAAGAGUUCAUAUAGUCAAUUCGAGUUGGAUGAAGAGCAUAUGGUGCUUGCUGAUUUUUUGGGUUGCCACAUUUGAUUUUAUAAUGAAUUAAAUAUAUUUUGGGUUAGAUAAGUUUUUGUUGAUACUGCAUAUAUAUAGGUGUGAUAUUUUGUUGAUAUAUUUGGAUAUAUCUAGAUGAAUUAGUUUAGUUGAUACUUUUGUUGAUACACCUAUAGUUAGGCUACACCUAUAGUUAGGCUGUUUUGUUAGAAAAGUUAGGCUAACUAUACAUGUAUGUAUAUGGUUCCAUUGAUAUUAUAUAUGUUAAAAUAUUAUUAAAAGUUCUUUGAUGGAAAUUAAAGUUAGUUCAUUCAAUUGUUCAACAAGUGUGAUCUCUUGUAUUACUUAUAUACAUUCGGCUACAAAACAGGUGCACGAAACAUUAUGAAGAUAUUUUAAAAUAUAUAAUUUUUUUUUCAAAGAAAAACUUAACUUGCAAAACAUGUCAAGAGUACAUGCAAAAAAUGUCAAGAAAUCACAUGUACUUAACGUUUAUAAACUAUCAAGUAUAACACUACUUGACGCUUAAAAUCUGUCAAACAAAAUCACUCUUAUUCUUGACACUAGAUUACUUGACGAUUAAAAAGUGUCAAGUAAUCUCAUAUACUUGACGUCUUUUACCUGUCAAGUAAACUGGUUUUACUUGACGAUUAAAACCAGUCAAAUAUACCUUCUUUAUUCUUGACACUGGAUUACUUAACACUUUUAAAAGCGUCAAGUAAACCUUUACUUGACAGUUUUUAAGCGUCAACUAAGGCCAAUUUUGUAGUAAUUGCUGUCUAGAUUCACACCACAAUCUAGGUUACUAGUUUCCAUUAUUUCAUUGUUUUUUAGUAUACCAUCCAAUGCUUCUUAACAUCAACAUUUUCUUUUGAGAUUCUAGAAUUAUUUGUCUAACUCUUGCGCUAUAUUUGUAAUAAAUAUAUAUAACAGAAAUAUAGAGCAAAAUAUAUAUAUAUAUAUAUAUAUAUAUAUAUAUAUAUAUAUAAAUAAAUAUACUAAGUAGAAGGUAGUUUUCUAUAUUAUAUAUAUAUCUUUAUUAAUUUUUUUUUUAUUGAACACUAUUACUGUAUUACAUAGUGAUAUUGUUGUUUAUAUUAGAAAACAAAGUAGAGUGUAGUAUACCUCUCUCAUUUAUUUAAACCAAACUACAAGUAGGGUAGUGGGAGUGGGAGUGAGAGAGAUGUAGUGAUUUAUAUUUUUAGCAUCCGCAACUGGAUUGUUUGGGUCGAAUUUCGAAACCUUUAAAUUUCAACCCCGUCUUCCAUUGACUACUGUGAUUGUACACUCUAAACUCAUACUCCUUAUCACUGUUACAAUCAUGUUUGUCGACCUUGAAUUCCCCAAUCUUGAUCGUAAACCAAACAUCUCGUGGCUUACAUUGUAGGCUUUCUUUGGUCUCAAUUUUUUUUCCAUCUGGGAGGGUGAUUACAAAGAUAACAGGUUCUUGCCAUCCAGAGGCACAAGGUGUAACGCAAACAUGACAUAAUACUUCAUAUAGAACUCCAGAUGAUAGUGCGUAUUGCUUCAACUUUCCACUUAUAUCCAACCAACAUACUUUUAUAAGCUGUGCCACGUCAAUUUUCUUACUGCCAAAUUUUUUUUACACCAUCAUCAACAAGUAAACAACUUUAAGAAAAAAUUACUAGCUACUAAAAAACAGUAUAUUUUUAUGCAUUCCAUCUAAUUGUCUGUAGAACGAAAAUUUUCUUUUCACGUCAUUUUUUUUAAAUCGUAAAUUUGGUCUUUAUUAGUUUAAGUAAAAGGUUAAGUUCAAUUUAGUCUUAUGAAAUUUUAGAAAGUGAUUUUAUUAAAGGGACAUUUUUAAAAAUAGCAAAAUAAAUUAAAAUAUCUACAAGUUAUAGCAAAAUUUUGAAUUCUAAUCUUCUAUCAUUAUAGUAUAUCAGUGACUAUCAAUAAUAAAAUUUGCUAUAGGUUAUAAAUUUUUUGUAAAAUUUACGGUUUUUGAAAAUUUUCCUUUAUUAAAUCAUAAAAACUAACUUUUUCUCAUUCCUAUUCCAAUGUCAGUAAUUUAAUCUAUUUGUUCUCUAUAAAACCAUUCCUCAAAAUUACAUCCAAUCAACCUUUUUAAUUUUAAUUACUAAAUAAACAAUAAAAAUUAAAGUUCAUUCAAAUUUAAACCUAAUCUUUUAUGUUUUAUUUUUUUCAUUUUUUUAAAGUCAGAAUAUACCUUCCAUUGUUCAAGAUUUUGUUUUCCAACACACAAGAAAAAAAAAUAGUAAGUUAAGAAAAUAAAAAGAAAACAAAUAGGACAGAAUGAGAUAUAUUUAAGGUUAAAAUUCCAGUUUUGUCCUUCUAAUUUAAAUUUUGUUUAAUUUUAAUCCAUACCUUUCCAUCAUAAUAAAUCUUAAAUUUAGUCGCUAACCUGAAUAAGUAUUUUCUAAAUUUAUGGUAAAGUUGUUUAUACAUAAACUUAGGUAAAAUCAACCCUAAGCAAGUUCUAUGGACUAAAACUUAAAUUUAUUGAAAGGGGAAGAAUUAUAUACUGCUUUCAAAUAUAACAAACUAAGUAAACUAACUUAUAAAUUUAUAACAAAUUAAAUUGACGUAAACACUGUAAAUAUGUAUAUGUGUAAAUCGGGAUAUUUUGUCACAUUCAAAAAUUGAUAUUUUAAAGUAUAGAAACUAGAACGAUAUUUAAUGAUAGUAAAAAAAAAAUAAACAUACCCAUAGAUCUCCCCGGGUAUCCAUUUCCAGUAUUGACAAUCAUCGAUCCAAAUUAUUGUGAGGGAUUUUGGAAGUAGGACAUACCUAUUACCCUUUCCCUUUUUGUCAAACCAAUAAAGCUGCAAACAAACUAAUCAUACUCAGCUCUUUGAACACAAUUAUCGAUCCAAGCUAUUACGAGGGAUUUUAGUGAUUUCAAAACCAAUCUCAAAUAUAUCUUUUAACUACUUUAUAAAUCAUAGUGUAAACAAAUUAAAAAGAAUGUUAGACUUGCCUUAGUUCCCUUGUUUAGGGUGAUUCCAGCAAUAAGUUGUUGAUAGAGCUUAGCAUAGGUAGGCCAAUGCACCGUGACAUUUAGAGUUUUUGGCAAAAUAUAAGUAAGACAAUGACCAUAACUCUCCUGUAUUUGCAAGCUCUCUCUUGCUUCUGUCUCUAUGCAAACCAUAUUUGAAAAGGUUAAUUUGGAGUAUUAAGAGAUUGGAGAGAUGGAUGAAGAUGAGAGUGGUGUAAGGCACAUAUAUAUACUCUCUUGUUUUGUAUCUUAUUGUUUCAAAGAUGGGACGUGGUAAUUAGCUAUUUUUAUCUCUUAUCUAAUCGUAUAUUAUACUUUUAAAAAGUGACCAUUUAAUGCCAAAAUGAGUAUUACUCAAUUGAUAUAAUAAAUAUAUGAAGAAUUUUCAAAAAUAUCAAAUUUUACAAAAUAUUUAUAACUUUUAGUAAAUUCUAUCACUAAUAGUCGUUGAUAUGUUAUAGUGAUUGAAUCCAAAAUUUUGUUAUAGCUUAUAAAUAUUUUAAUUUAUUUUGUUAUUUUUAAAAAUGUCUUUAUAUUAAAUUAACGUGAAGAUUAGACCUUUUGAUUUUCUACCCUUUAUCUAUGGUCAAAAAAAUAAAAAAAUAAAGUAAAUGAUUUAGUUCUCUUUAUCCCUUCUUUUUUUCUCUUCUUCCUCGUGAGAAUUUUCUUUUCACAUAUAUCUAUUUUUUAUACAUUAAUUUAUAAACGUGUAAAUUAAAUCUGUAAUCCAAUCCUUUAUAUGAAAAUUAACUUCACAUUAAUAUAUAGAAUUAACAUAAUUAAUUAAUUUCACAAAUUUUGUAGUAUUUAACAAAAUUUUAAUUACAUCUCAAACCGUUUAAUUUAAAAAAUAAGUUAUUUUGAAAAAAAUAAUGUGUUUGAAAGUUAGUCAAAACUAUAUUUUAAGUGAAUAAUCUAUUUAAACAAAAAUAAAUUUCUUAAAAAACAUUUUUUUUCUAAAUUAAUCCAAAUAGACCCUAAGUCUGGAACAUACGUUAAGUCAAAGUGAGGAAUUGAAGUGCGUACUCUUUUUAUUCAUUAGAAUAUAUUAUAUUUUAAUAUUUUAUUGUAAAUAAUCUAUAUAUAUAUAUAUAACAAUUUACAUUAAUCUACUCUUUUUUUUUUAUCUUUUCCUUAUUGUAUGAAUCGUUUUGGUGUGCAUAAUGUAUAUAUUGUAUUUGAUACCGUUUUAAAAGUAGGGAUAGUUGUAAAAUUAGUAAUUAAAUUCAAAAUAGUUAAGUAUAUAGCAACGCUUUUAAAAAUUUGCAAAUAUAGCGAAAUUUGUCAAAUUAUAUUAAUGAUACAAGUCUAUCACCGAUAGACUAUAUUGUAAAUAUUGAUCUAUUACUGAUAGAUCAUAUAAGUCUAUCAACGAUACAAAUCUAUCAGUCAUAGUCUUGCUAUAUCUUUAAUCAUUAUUUAUGAAAUGACCAUCAAUUACAAUUACUUUUAAAAGUAUUGAUUUCUUUUUCAAAAUAAAUAUCAAAUAUAGUCAUUACGCACAAAAUAUAUUAGUAAAUAUAGUAAAAUAACAUUUUCAAAUAUAAUAUAAUAAAUCAAAAUAAUUACAAAAUAUAAUAAAUUUUUAAAGAUUAUCAAUGAAAGACACUAAUACAAGUCUAUUAAUGCCUCUAUCACUAUGUUUCUCUAAAUUGACUUUUCUUAACUUAAUUAAAUUUCUUACUUAAAAUUUGACGAUGAAAGAACUAAUUUCUAAAAUUGUUUAAUUACGGCCUUAUCUUUUUACUUAAUUAAUUUAAUAAAAUAAUAGAUUUAAAAGAGAUAAAUAAUAUAUGAUGUAUAUGGAUCACAUUAUUAAUAAAAUUAUAUUUAAAAUAAAUAUAACAUUUGCAUCUAAUACAAUUUCUCUCAAAAGAAAAAAAAGAUAAAAAUAAAUCUUUUAUAAGAAAAGGCAAAAAAAAUUAUUCCAUGCAUCACCAAAAUUUUAUUGACCGGAGGUUUAUAUUCUUUUUCUCCAGCUAUGAUAUUUCAAAGAUAAGAGAACAAAUUCUAAUUUUUUCUAAAAGAUAUAUUUAAUUUUUUGUAUUUUUACUUUGAGGUGGUUUCAAUUCCAUUUAUAUUAGAGUGAGAAAACAAAAUAUUUACACAAUAUUUUCAACAUUUUUACCAUUUACAAUUACUUUCAAAACAGUUCGUUAUAAAUUAAUAGUUAUUUUUAAAAUAAAUAAGUAUAUUUUAAUAGUUCAUUCUAAAUUAAUUGUUAUUUGUAGCAUAAAUAAGUAUAUUUUUCAACCAAGAUUUGAAUAAUGAAUAACAAGAACUUAACUCAACUGUCAUAAAAAUUAAUGACCUACAAAAUAGAAAAACUCAUACAAGUAUGGUGCUUGACCACAAAAUAGAAAAACUCAUACAAGUAUGGUGCUUGACCACUAACACUCUAACGAUCAAAUUAAUAAUUGUUUAGAUAGAGCUAAAGAGUAUAAAAGUUCAGAGGUCUUUUAUCAUAACUCAAAUGAAAUGAGUCCUCGUGAUUAUAUAAAAAUAGAUUUCAUAACUCAAGCCAUAACUAAAUUGUUGUGCAUCCUCAAAUUUAUUUCACUAAUGACCAAACACAUGUGUAAAAGUGCAACACUUAGACAUAAUCUUUGCUAUGCCUCGUACCUAAGUAUUAUGGCUUGAUAGUCAACCCAAUGGGUCAAUCUCUUAAUUAACUAAAUAAAUCUAGGGUCGUCAAGUAAACAGUAAAUUAUGAGUUUUACUUUGGGAAAAUAGCAAAAAUAAAUUUAAAUUGUUAGAAUAACAAAACAUACAAAUUAGAAAAAUAAAUAAAUGAAACAAUCCCUCAAAUGCCCCUAUCCAAUAUGAAAAGUACAAUUAUUCAACUAAACCCCAAAUACAUUGUAGUUGAAAUAACAUGUGCUACAUAAAAAUUUUCCCCAAAAAACAUGAAGAUUAGAAAAGUUGCCAUUAAUGGAAAACUCCACCUCAUGCCUGAAAAAUUUUAAAUCUAUUUCAAGGUCCAAAAUAUGCAAUUCAUUUGAAAUUGGUAAUUGCAAAAUUGAGACACAUUUGAUUCAAGAGUUUGACUCUACACCUGUGUAGCAGCCAUAGCCAAAAGCUUCAAGUUGAAAACAUGAGAAUUGUUAAUAUUAUAAUAAAGAUGAAAUCAUGAAAUUACUAUAGAAUUCAAAACUUAUAUACAUAUUAGCAAGAUACGCAUUACUGAGUUCGUCUACUCAAAUCGGUGAGUUCUUCGUACAUUCGAGAUUCAUUUAAGUUAUUAUCUAUUGUUUGCAAGAAAAAAAUUUCUCUCUCACAUUGUGUUUGUCUCUUGUCAACUGCCCCUCUCUCAAUCUCUUUCUUUUCAUUUCUCUAAUAAAACCUAAAAAAAGAAGAUUCAAAUAAUUGCAAAAAUGUCAUUGAGAUAUAAUUAAAUCACAAAAUUUAAAUUCAAAUUGUUAUUAAAAAUAUAUAUUAUGUAUUAUUUAAUAAAUUGUUUAAAAUAUAACAAAUUUGAAAAUCUUGUAUAUAUAUUUGCCAUUAGCAUAAAUCUAACAACAAAAUAGCAAAUUUAGUUAAGAUUUACCAAAUUUGAAUGUUGUUUACAAAAUACAUCGUUUUAACAAAAGAGGCACAAUAAAUUAUUUUUUAAAAAAUAAAAAUCAAUCAAAAUAAGUGUACAAUUUGAAAUAUAAAUUAAAAUAACUAUGUAUUAUAUAAUAAAUUUUUUAAAAAAAUUUGAAAUAUAAAUCCUACAAAAAUUGGAGUAGUGAUUGUCAUUAUUUUAGGGAUUAAAUUUCAUAAUAUUUGAAUUUAAAAUACUAUGAAAUCUGAUGAAUGUAAUUUUCGAUGGAAAAUAACAUAAGUUUUAUGAAUUAAAUAAAUAAAUGUUAAUUAAUUUAUUUUAAAUACUAAAAAUCCAAAAAUUUAUUAUGAAUUGUAGGCAUAUAUUUAGGAGAUAUUGAAGAAAUCUUGUCGAUCUCGAAAAUAUCAUAAAUUUGUUAAUAUUUUCCAAAACUGAUAGUUAGUUUGCAAAUACACUAUUAUCGUAUGAUAUUUGGUCUCAUUGUUUGUAUCAUACGAAUACACAGUAAAAUAUGUAUUAUUCUACAUAAAGCCUAAAGGGGUAUAACACACGUAUUAUACUUCUUGAUUUAGACAUGCAUAACAAGGAUGAUUGGAAAUAAAAUGUUACAUACAAAAAAAUAAAACGUUUAAUUAAAAUAAAUAUAAAUAUUAACGUAAAUAAAAAACACAACGUGAAAAAAUAAUUAUCCGAUACAAAAGACAAAAUAAAUUAUUUUUUAAAUAAAAAUCAAUUAAAAUAAGUGUAUGUAUAAUGAUAAAACUUUAUUUUUAAAUUAUUAUUAUACGUACUAUGUGAUAAUUUUCUUUAAAUAACUUAAAAUAUAAGUAAUAUGAAAAAUGCUUAAUUUAUGCUUGCAAGUAUUUUAAGGAUAUGAGGUAAUAUUAGAAAUCAAAAUAUUAUGAAAUAGAAUGACUUGAAAAUUGUUGAAAUUCUCAUAACCAGUUUUUUUAUUAAUCACAUGUACUAUGUAUUAUCUAAUAAUUUUGUUUAAAAUAACUUAAAAUAUAAAUCAUAUGAAAAUAUUGAAGGAGUGAUUGUCAUUAUUUUAGGGAUUAGAUUUUAUAAUAUUUGAGUUCAAAAUAUUAUGAAAUAUAACGAAUGAGGAACGGUUGAAAAUCUUUUAGCAAUUUUUUAGAAAAAAUAUUUAUUAAACAUGAACUAAAUAUUUAAAUGUUAAUUAAUUUGAUUUAAAUACUAAAAAUUUGAAAAUUUGUUAUGAAUUACCGGCAUAUAUUUAGGAGAUGUUGUGAAAAUAUUGUCAAUCCUGUAACUAUCAUAAAUUAGUUAAUAUUUUCCAAAACUGGUUGUAGUUUGCAAAUACACUGUAUCUAUGACGAUGUGAUAUUUGGCAAAUACAUUGUAUCUGAAUACACACAUUAUCCUACCUAAAGGAUAUAAAUGGGUAAAAAAAAUCCAGAAAAUUCUGUUAGAAUUAGUUUUGCGAAGAUUCUUAAUAUUUUUCAGAUUUGCUAUUUUUCAGUUUGUUAUACUAAACUUUGCUAUUCUCACGGUGAUCUCGUAAAUUUAUGGCUUGCUGGGAGAGUUUGUACCAGUAGCCUCUAGAUGGAAGCACCAAUGAAUUUUUGUGCAAUUUUUAAAUUCAAAUAACUAAUGGUCUUAUGCUAAUAUCAGCCAUGUGUGAGUUUACCAAAUUGACCCCAUUUGCACGCGAGGGUAGUCCACUACCAAUUUCUUCUCGUAGUCCACUACCAAUUUCUUCUCGUUUCUCUUUCUCGUCUGUAAAAAACUUAACUACAAAAACCAUAACACCAAUUAGCUGACGAAUUCCAUAGUAGAAUGAUGACAAGAAUUGUCAGUAAGCAAUUGUGGUCAUCAAAGGCAAUCAACUUCUGUUAGUCUUUAAAAACAUCCAAUCCCAAUGAUAGAAACCGACAAAAGUGGGAGCUCAAAGAGUACUAGGCGAAGAGGAAAAGAGAGGAGGUUUCGAUGAUGACUUGGUCAAGUUCAAUUAUAGUUUGGAGUUUCAAAUUAUAAAGAGGAGGAGGAGUCGAAGACGUGUGGAGGUGCAGCAAAGUUUGGUGAGCUUGUUUAAUUUUUUCGAGGAGUUUGAUAUCGUGGUUUGAAGGAGAUAGGGGUAAAGAGUAGUCGAGAGUUUGACGAGGAGAUCAGGUGGUAAGAAAAUGGAGGCUAUGGCAAUGGGGAAUGAAUGAAUCUAUAUGGAAGGCAAUGACAAGAUGACCUCACUCAAGGAGGAGAAACGAGGUACAGGAAAGAAAAACGAGAGAAAGAAACAAGAAAAAAUUGGUAGCGAAUUAGCCUCGAGUGCAAAUGGGGUCAAUUUGGUAGAUCCACACGUGGUUGACGUAAGCAUAAGACCAUUAGUCAUUUGAAUUUGAAGAUAGGGCCAAAAUUCAUGGAAUCCAUUCGUACAAAUUUCUUCGGUUGCUAGGCAACCCUACGGGCUAGUCUAGUUCGUUCUUAACUAAAUAAAUUUAUGGCUUGAUAAUUGACCCUAUAAAUGAAUCUCCAUACUUAAUUAAAUAAAUAUAUGGUUUGAUAGUAAAUUCUAUGGGUUGACCUCUGUAGUUAGCAAAAUCAAUUUAUAUUUUACAGCAAAAUCAAGUCCAAUGAGUUUUUUUGUCGUUCGUUCGUUUUUUUACCAUAAAUAUAAAUACUUUGUAUUUUUUAAUUCUUCUCCAAAAAAAAAAAAAAUAAAAGGUAUCUUUUUACAAUUACCCUCUCCAAUUUUUAUUUUAAACUUUAAAUGAAACACGAAUAUUUCUCUCUGUAUAUAAAUUUGUGAUAGGACUAAUAUGUGAUAUCUGAUUUUGUUAUUUUCUCGAUUUCAAACUUUAAUUUAAAUCAAAGUAUUCUUUUUCCAUUUUCUGAUAUUCUUUUCUUUAGUCAAAAAAAAUAUUUAUAUUCUUUUUAUUUCAACAAUGUAAUUAUCCUUUUAAUUUCAAACUUCCAUUUAAAUUAUAAAAAAAUAUAUUUUUUAAUUUUGCAGAAUAUUUCGCAAUAGUUCUUUCUUAGUUUUUUUUUUUUUUUUUUAAUUUUAUCAAAGUUAUUUGAUUAUUUUCGUAAUUUCUUUUUCAAAAUUUAGUUUAAACAAAAAAACUCGUUCUUUUGUACAUUUACAAUGUGCUCUUCAUCUAGAUUUAUUUGUCUAAGUAGAAGAAGCCUUAAAAUAAUAUCAAUCAUGUAAAAAAUAGUGACAAACCCCUAACUGAUUGAUGUGCAUUUAUAAAAAUGGAAAAACAAACUAAAAAUGAAAUGCAUGAAGACAACCAAAAUUUUUUUAAAUAGUAAAAUAAAUUAAAAUAUUUAUAAAUUCAACUAAAAUUUUAGAUUCUAUAGAAUAUCGGUAUUUAUUAACGUCUAUAGUGAUAGAAUUUGAAAUUUUUGCUAUUUAUCAAAUUUGCUAUUUUUGAUAAUUUCUCAAAAUACAAUGAUUCACACCUUGAACAAGUAUAUAGAGAUAUAUGUGAACAUUUGAGGUCUCAUUUUACCUUUUUUUAUACUUUAUAUCAAUUUAGUAAAACUAAAAAAUAUUUAUAAUCUAUAUAACAAAAUCUUUCGAGAAUUAUUCGCUAGUCAAUAAAUGACUAAUGCUAUAUGCUACGGUUGGUGGAUAAAGAAAAUUGGAAUAGAAACUUUCAAGUAAAUGAGAAUGUUCAAGAGAGAAUAAAAUAAAAGAAUGACAUGAUAUUACUCACUCAUUUGUGUGGUAUUUUUGUAACACACAUGGGCCAUGAUCUUUAUGAGAAAAGAUAUAGAAUAUUUACAAAAAUAAUAAUUCAAGGAUUUAAAAAUAAUAACCCAAAGAGAUACAUGGUAAAUGUCCCAUAACCUUAUGACGUCUAGCUAGACCGGAGAUAUAAGUUAAUCGGGUUGGUGCUAGAAAUAAGAAUUGAAAAUGCGUGUAGAUGAAUUAUCAAACACCCGCAGAUGUCACACAAAGAGCGCAAACAACAAUUGAAAUAAAUAAAAUACCAACAACAAAUAAGACAUAGAAGUUGGUAACCCAAUUCAGUGAUAUACUACCUACGCCUAGUGAUAAUUUGCCCAAAAUAGACCAUCCACUAACAUUGAAAGUUAUGAGUUUACAACAUAACACUUGUUUGCAAAACAGCUCUUACAAUAGAGACUCACGUAGAGCUUAACUUAAUUAUGAUCACCUAGGUUUCCGCUGGAUGUAAAACUUUCUCUCAUCGUAGACCUAGGCUCCUCCUAAGUCUGAGCUCCCCUCACACUCGACAUGUUUAGGCUCCUUUUAGAGUGGCAAUAUUAGUGAUUAUCACUGAGUGCAGCUGCAAGGUAUACAAAAUUUUCAUUCUCCUUUUUUAAUUACUUCCUUGUACUGCAUCACCUCCAUUAGUUUCAUAACAAACAAGACAAUAAUACAAGGGUGUCAAAUGAGUUAACAAUCCCGAGAAAGGAAGACAAACCAUGUUUGUUACUCUUCUACUUUCAAUUCUUCUUGGCCUUACAGCUGUCCUUUUGGCAUUUGGCCACAACAUUUGGGCUGGAUUCUUUAGUGAUAGUCCUUUUUUUUUCAUGCACAAUAUCUAGCCAAUGGUUCAUCUUCUUCCUCUCAUCCAUUUCAAUUUUUUUCCACAAAUCAGCACUUCAAAACCCAUUUACACAGAAAGAGCCAAGUCCUCCCAUAUGUAUAUAUUUUAUCUUAUAACUAGGCCAAUUUCCAAAUUUUGAGGCACCCUAUAUAAGUUUGAUCAUCCUCAUGUCUUCUUCCUCACGCUCAUACUCGGUCAUUAUACAAUUUCCUCAGGGAAAAUGACUUGGUUUCUUGGUUUUCUCUUUCUCUAUUUCUUACUUCUUUUGCUAAUGCUUGCUGUGUUUAUCAGUCUAAAGCUAGCCACCUUUAUGAUUCACCUACUACAUGUAUAUAUAUAUAUUUCUAUUAUAUCUUUUACCUUUUUUCAGAAUAAUAAUAAUUGCAUGAAGGAUUUUGUCAUAUGAUUAUUAUUGGUUUCUCUUAUGUUAUGGCAAUGUGGCCUUGCAAUUCUCUAAUGGCUUCUUUGCAGCUGUUGUGCCUUCCCUGAUUUAUGCGUCUAUUUGAUACAACACACAAGGCAGCAAGUAUAAAAAGUUACAAGUUUAGUCAAUGGACAUUCAAACUAAUUUAUGCAUCUAUUUGAUCCCUAAAAUUUUAAUUUGUUGUUUGAUACGUCUUGAGCAUUCAAUUUUAUGUUUAUAGUUUUUUUUAGACAUGUUAGGUAAUUAUUUUGCUUUUAAACUUAGAUCUAUCAACGUUCAUUCCACCUCAAUUUUUUUUUUUUUUUUUUGCUUUUUGUGUUUGUCUAAUUUUUACCAAUGUUCUCAAAAUCGAAGUCAAAUUUUAAAACAAAAAAAAGAUUUCUAAAAAAGUUUCAGUUUUUAGAUUUUGAAUAAAAAAUUAACUUUUAUACUUAAAAAAAAAAGAGAAAAAACAAAAUUGUUGCAAACAUAUAUUGAAUGGAUCUUUCAUAUUCAAAUUUCUAAAAAAAUUAACUUUUGAUUUUUAGUAAUGUGAAUAAUGUUUGGAUUUGUGUUUGUGGUAUUGGCGAAUGAUUGGAGAUCGCGGGAGGUAUGCUAUGGGUUUCACUUUUGUUUGGCGGAAGGUAUGUUAAUAACAUGUUUCUGCAAAUUGGUGGAAAUUUGGUUAAUAUACUUGUAGCUUAGGUUUUUCAUUUAAGCUUUGUGUAAGAUUAGUGUAGUAGCUUAUGCUAGAAACAUGCAUUUUGGUUGUAUUCCUCUUUUCAUUCAAAGUAUUACCGUCGACCAACAUGAAAAGAAAAACUAUCUAAAGAUCUUUCAUAAAAAGUUACUUGCCUAAUGAUUCUUCUCAUUUUAUUUUGCUUUCUCAGCUUCCCUGUGUAAUAUGGCUUAUAUCAUUCCUAUCUUAAUUAUUAGCUUCUUGUUUUAAUUUCACAUUUCAUUUUGUUUUCGUAUUGCACAUUCAUUUAAUCUUCAUUCCAGCACUGUUCGAGCUCUCUAGAGUCCUUCGAGAUUCGUUCUACAUCGUUUGAGUUGUGUUCGAAUAUCGCUGAAGUAGAGUUUUUUUUUUUUUUUUUUAUCUAAGGAUGCUUUUCAUUCUAAUUGACAUCACAUUCUCCAAUCUUGGUGGUAAUAAUUCCAUUUACCAUCUUCGAUUCUUGAUCAAUUUGUGAUUUUGUUUCAUUUCAUACUCAGUUUAUUGUUUGUUUGAAUUGUUAUUGUUGAAGUUGAUUUUUGCGCAUUCGUGGUUUUGAAGAAUGGCUGGCGGAUUGAAAAAGCUUUUUGUAAAUCAACUUCUUCUUUUUGUUUAUUAUAUGUUGGCGUUGUCCCCCGUUUCUUUUUCUCACAUACUCAUCUUCUUCCUCUUUCAAUUACCAACUCUUCCCUUUCUCUUCACACAAAAAGGAGAAUCUAAACCUAUUGGCUCCAAAAUUACGGUAUAUUUUUUUAAAAUUUUUUGGACUCUAUUACUUUUAUUUGUGAAUUUUGCCUUGUGGUGUUGAGAUUAUGAACUUUAAUUGUAAGAUUUUUUUAACUAAAUUGUUCAUUGUUUGAAGUUGGGAUUUUGAGAACAUGAAUUAUAUGUGGGACUUUUUAGAUACCGAAGCUAAAGAGUGUUAUGUAUUUAAAAUCUCUAUAUGUUCAUUCAAAGCUUCUACUUUAUCUAUCAUCAGUCUCUAGUUAUACUUUUCACUUUGAUUUUCACUAAAUUGUAAAUAUAUUCAAUUUUGUUGUUUUCUAUUCUCUAUACAACACAUUCAAAUUUAAAGUUUUAUAGAGAAAUUAACUUUACAGCCAUAAGUAUAAUGAAGUAUUCUCAUUGACAAAAUUCAUGGUUAUACUCUCUUAAAUUACCAUUUUCUAACCUGUCCUCCAUUAAUUUAUCAAAUCACCUACACCAACACUUAUCUUACUUUUAUGGAUUAGCGAAACAUACUUAGUGCAUUGAAGUUACUAGGAAGCCGUUUUUUUUUCUUUCAAAAUUGUCUUGUUAUAAUUCUAAAGAUCAAAUGGUUUAUAAUGAUAUUGUUUGUAGAAUAAUUGAAGUCAUAUCUGAUUGAAAGCUAAGUGAUUGUGUAGACAACCAGACGAUCGUUGAAGGUUGAAGACUGAGAAGACGUUCAAGAUUUAUUAUUUAAUACAAAAGACUGAGAAGACGUUCAAGAUUUAUUAUUUAUGUCUUGUAUUAAGAUCUUGUUUCAUGUACUCAUGUAAAAUAUAUACAUAAAAACAAUAUUAAGAUUUCAUUUUGUGUAUACAAACAUGUAAAAGACAAAUAUUAUAAUUUCUACAUGAAUAUUAAAUUUAUUGAUUUGUUGGCGUGAAAAAUAAUAUUUAUCUACACAGACCAAUGUCAGAUUAUAAAAAAUGGACAAUAAUGCAACAAUUAAAUAAAAAUAAAUUUAUUAAAAUGGACUAAAAACAAAGGUUUUAAUGUUGUUUUUAAACCGACAUUGAAUUUUUUUUAAUGUCAGUUUUAAGGUCAACCAACAUUAAAAACCUUCAAUAACACCAUAAAAAAUGUUGUUUUUAAACUGACAUUAAUGAGGCAUUUGAUGUCGUUUUCAAACCGACAUUAAAGCAAACACGACAUUAAAGCCUUAUAAUAAUGCUAGCAUAGAUGUCGGUUGUCAACCACCAGUAAAGGCUAUUAAUGUCGGUUUUAAACCGACAUUAAAGGUCAAAUUUCUUCUAGUGGUAGAAUAUGUUAAACUGAGUUGUUGAGAUAUAUGCUCCAGGAAAAGGGAAUGAGUGUUCUACGUCACGUAAGGUUCAUGAAAUUGGCUCACUUACUUUCACUAGUCGUUGUUGUGUAAGUUGUAUGUGUAUCUGAUUUGCAUUCAAACUCAGGACAAUUUAAAUCAUUUUGAUUAUCAACUUUGAAUCACCAUAAAUUUUUGUGUAUGAUACUCCUUUCUCUAAUGCCAUUUGAAGAACAAUUAUCAAACCCAUAUAUCACCACUUCGUCGCGGUUCACCAUUAAAGUAUAUAAUCCAAGGUUCCAUAACUUUCGUGAAUAAAAAUUCAUCAAAGGCAUGUCUUCACAUAACUUCCAAUUUGAUGGAAUUUGGUGGCCUGCUAAAAAGUUCGUCAACGCACUAAGGUUCUGCUUAGAUAGUAAAGAGCAUGUUCCAUUCCCUUCUCCUUCUUUUGUGCCAACAAGAAUGUCCCUUAUUACCUUUCGUAUGCAGCAAUGUACAAUAUCAAUGACUUCUAGGCACUGAAGCUCCUAGCAUUCAUUCUUUAUAUUAUCAAAGACAUCCUGAUAAGCCUCAUCCCACACAAAUUUUUCUCUUUUUCUCAUCAACUUUUGAAAAGUUUGACAUCGACCAGCUAGGUUGGAAAUAAACAUUCGAAUGUAAGCCAAUCGCUUAUAGAGACUUCUUAAGUCAUGAAAACUUUUUAGCCUUGGCAUCUUGUGAAUGGCAACAAUCUUGGACUAGUCUAUCUCGAUCCCACGGUGCCUUACAAUGAAGCCAAAAUGCUUUCUUGAAGUCAAACCAAACGUGCACUUGAGAAGGUUCAUCCUCAUCUAAUAUUUUUUCAAGCAAUUGAACACAACUUUUAGAUCUUUCAAAUAGCCUUGUCGUCUCUUGGGUUUGACCACAAGGUCAUCAAUCAUAGCACUCGACAUGCUUAUACAACAUAUCGUCAAACACUUUUUGCAUAACACAUUGAUAAGUAGAACCAAAAUUCUUUAAUCUAAAGGGCAUCACCUUGUAGCAGUACAUUCUAUUUGGAGUCUUAAGGCUAACAUUUCUUCAUUUUAAAGGGCCAUCCUAAUUUGGUUAUAUCUAGACGAUCCAUCCAUUAAAGACGAUUUCUCAUGUCCAAUGGUUGCAUCGACCAUGAUUUUCGUGAUGGACAAAGAAAAGUCAUCUUUAAGGCAUGCAUUAUUUAGGUCAUGGAAGUCUACACUAACGCGAAGUUGCCCAUUUUUUUUAAUAUGAACAAUGUUUGCUAUCCACGUUGGAUAUUUAAUGUCGCAAAUGAAUCCUGCUUCAAUUAACUUGUUGACUUCAACUAUUAUUUAGAGAAUAAGCUCUGGUUGAAAGCAUUGUUGUGCUUGCUUUAUUGGUCAAUACAUGUUUUGAUUGCGGAUGAUGUACUGCUACUUUUGAAUCAAAUUCCAACAUCUUCUUGUAUGACCAAGUAAAUGUGUCCUUUACUCAUGAGCAAACUUAUAUAUUUACCCUUUUCUAAAGAGAAAUGUAAUAAUGAAAGUUGGACACGAUUCCUCUAUUGUACCAAUAUUCACCUCUUUUAGCUCAUCUAUGUUAGAUUGGCUACAAUCCUCUAAACUCUGUGGGGUCAAUUGUCUUUUCUAGAAGGUGUAGUUUACCUUUUAAAGGUUUGUCAGUCAAGGUUAGGCACUGAUUGGUGGCUCUCUUUUUAUCUCCUUUAUGCUUAGUCUUUCAAAUACUAGGGCAUGUUGAAACGGACAAUCUAGUUCGAUCGAAUGUUGAGGUUCUUUGACUAUCACUUCCUUUUCCUUUUGUAUUAUCGACAUAUUCUACAGUUAUAUGAUUGUUGUCAAUCACUCUUUCCUUCCCCUUUCUAGUUAUAUGCAUCGACUCUAGUGACUUGUAUCAAAGUCCUUUUCUUGACACGAUAUAUAAUGUUCUUCCCAUAAAAGCUUCUUUUGGGUUAACGAGAACUCAGGCUGUUCAUAAAUUUUUAAGCUUUUGAACUUGGCGUGAGCUGUGAAGUCAUAACCUGAUUUUGUCAUCAAUUUGUAAGCCUUUGGCUCGAAUCCCUCUUUCAUCCACCUUUGGAGCAAGUUUUCUUCCGUCAGAUCUAACUUUAUCUAUUGCUUCGUUGACUUAGUCAAUGGUGUAGUGAAACUUUCUUUUAAGAAUACAAAUGUCACCAAACUUCAAACCUUUUGGGGACUCUAGGAACGGUGACCCGCCCUUCUUGCGUUUCGAUAGAGGGACUAGAUCAAGACUGGCGGGUUUGAGGCCUUUUCAUCCUUUAAGGUUGUACUCUUUGUGGCACCAACAGAUGCCCAAGUACUCUUUCCAGAGUUAAAGGUGCAUAUACCUUAAUGUGAUUUCAUUCUUAUGCUUGCAGUAACUUCUGUUGUGAGUUAUCUUCUCCUUUUAUAAGGAGAAUUUUUGCAAACAUAACUUCUCGGAUAUUAUCACUCUUCAAAUAGAACUGGGCAUCUACAAAAUGUGAGACUCAACCUCUAAGUAUAGGUUAGAGUCGUCUUCAACCUUCUUUACACCGUCUUGAUAAAAUUUAAAGCAUUGAUGCAAUGUCAAAGUUACUACUUCAUUUCCAUGAAUCCAAGAAUGACAUAGCUACAACUUAUAAGUUGUCCUUGAGUCUAUGACAUGAAACAAUGCACUGGCCUUGUUGAAACCUUGAAUUACCAACUUUCUAUUUGAGAGUUCGUCCAUCAAGAUACCUAAUUGGCUCAUAAUCAACUUUAACAUUAUGUUGAAAAAUGAUCCAUUAUCGAUGAAUCUAGUUGACUCUUCUCAAAGGUAUCCAGAAACAUACGAGGGUCUAUUAUGAAGUUUGUAUCCCAAUAACAAAACAUCAUCUAUGAAAAAAAAAACAUUGGGAUAUUGGAUUACCAACUGUAAACGAUCAUGUACAAAAAAAAUAGUGAAAUCUAAACAAUCAUGUUCUAAAUAUAAACGAAAAUCUAAAUGAUCAUGUACUAAAAAAUCUUGAAAAAGAUUGUUGAGAUUUGACUACCCAAAUCUAAAGAUCAAAUCUAAACGAUCAUGUUGGAAAUCUAAAUGAUCGUGAAUCAACAAAUCUUGAAAAAAAUCGUUGAGAUUUGACUACCAAAAUCUAAAUGGUCAAAUCUAAACGCUCGUAUGCCAAAUCUAAAUGAUCGUGUGCUAACAAAUCUUGAAAAAAAUCUGUUUAGAUUUGACGUGUAGUAAAGAAUAACAAAAUCUAAACCAUCGUUUCUAAAAUAUAUUAGGCGUUGAAUAGCAAUUAAUCUCGAAGCAUUUUUGAGUGUGAAUAGCAACUAUCCUUUGUUUUAAUAAUUUUCUUGAAUGUUUAAAGAUCUUUUAAUAAAAAAAUUUGGUUAAUAUCUUUAAACAGUUACUAAAGAAAACACCUUCUAAAAAGAACAAUUAAAGAAAUAGUGUUACCGAUAAUGGAGUAAUUUGAAUUGACAAUAGAUCAUCCAACAAAAUAUUCAUCACUAGAAAAAGUGGUGAUGUAGAAGUUAUUUUUUCCUUCCACUAGUUGUUCACAAAAUGGUGACCCAUGUUUUGAUUGUUUUUCUCUUUCUGUGUAUUAAAUCGAGUAUUAUUAACUCACACUCAACUAACCUAUAUGCUACGAUCCUCUAAAACUAUAUUUCAAGUUGAAAAUUAGUUCUUUGAUGGUUUCAUUAUUCUCCUUUCUUUUGGCUAUAACCUAUAUAGAUCUGCCAAAAAAAGAGAUGAAAUAUAGAACUAUGGUUAGGGUAUAGGCUGAAUCAAAGCAGAAGGAGGUAUGGUUGGGUAAUAUAGAAUAACUAAACUGUUAUGUAUUUAAUGUGGUUUUCAAGUGUUAAAUAUAUUUUUAAUGUGUAUUAAUGCUUUCUUUUGUAGAUUAAUUGUACUAACAUUUUUUUAACUUAUUUUUUUAGGUGUUGUUUUGUUAUCAGCUUAUUUUUUUAGUCUUGAUUUGUAGCUUGACCUCAAACUAUAAAUAUGUAAAAAUGAUGAGUUAACUAUGGUGGUCUGGCCAUUUUUUUUGUUGCAUCAAUAUGUCUUCUUUAAAAUGAUAUCUUUCCGUUGAGGUUACAUAUAUAAAUUAGAAAAAUAAAUAGCACUAAAUUACAAAAUAAAACUUAUAUCCUUUAUUUAGAAAAAAAUAUCUAUUAUUUACAUUGCUAUAUUAGUCAAGACCUCUUAAUUUAUAUCUAAGCUUCUAACAAACAUCUUUCUCUAUAAUAUUUGGAAAGUUUAUUAGAAAUCAAGAAUUAUAAAAUUACAAAGUUUUAACUAGAUGGACGAAAAUGUUUGUGUGAUAAAUGACAAAGUGGAAUUUAGUCUUGUAAAAAAAGAAGUUAGAUUAUUAGGGCUAGGGUUAGGGUUAGGAUUUGAGAAGUACUGUUGCCAAAUUAAAGUAGUUGGAGAAUGAAAAUACAACAAUGAUUAAAGUGGUAAAAAUAGAAACUAAGAAUUGGUAGAAAGUGAUUGAUGGGAGAGGGAAGAGGGAAGAGGGUGAUAGAUUCUAAAAACAUCUUGUCUAAGCUUAAAAGGUCGGUGAUUCUAUCUAUAAUUAUUAUCCCCACUGCAACUUUCGACACACUUUUCAAAUCCAUUAAUCAUCUCUAUUUGAGACAAUGAGAGAAGAAUAUGGGUACACUGCUCUCUUAAAUUGUUGGUUUGGGUUAUUCUAAAACACAUGGACAAAUUUAGGUAAAAUAUGAAAAAAAAUCUAGGGAAAAAAGUUUAAGAGUAGGCAAGAUCAUUAUGGUGUAUACUCUUGUAUAUGUGGUACCAAAACAUUUCAGUUUCUGAGAGUGGGUUGAGAAACAUACUUACUUAUUUGAUGAUCAUUUCUGGGUUUCUGUUUAUAGGUUUUAAAAAACCUUUCCUAAAAAUGUCAAAUUUAGAGGUGUGUUAGUUCCUAGUUUCAUUUAAUUACGUCAAAUGUACAAAGUUGGCUAUGUAGGGUUUAGACUUUGGCUUCAAACCCUAGCUGUGUAGCAUGUUAUUUUUUGCUUUGUUUUUAAAUUUUAAUUACUGUUAAUAUUUUCUACCACAAUAUUUAUAUAGGCAAUACAAUUGAGUUGAUUCUAAGUUGACAUUGUCAUUUAUCACAAAGAUUUUGAGUGAGAGAAAACAUUGCAAAUCAAAAUGUGACUAAAAUCUAAAUGAUAGAAACACAUUACUGUUUGUAUUAGAUUAUGUAAGAUUUUAUAGUUUCAUUUUCAUGUGUUUGGAUCGAUGUAUAUUAAAAAAGAUCAUUAUCAAUCAAAUUUUAAUUUUUUAUUUCUUUCUUCUUAAGAAAUCAUAAACAAAAAUAAUUAACCUACAUGUUUUUCUUCCUAGGUUUUUAUUUUUUUAAAAAAAGAUUGAAGAUAAAAAACAUGAAUUAGAAAACUGAAAAUAAGAAAGGUGAAUGUUACUGAAUGAGGAGCCUAAAGUUUCAUGAAAACAUAGAUUUUAGUUUUGAACAAUUUACAUCUUGUAAUUUUAAAUUUGAAAUAAUUUAGUAAAUUUUAGAACAAUUAUCACAAAUUGUCAUGUUAGACGAAAAAUACAAAUAAUUGAAUUUGAUACUAAUUAAAAGUUACAUGUAUCCUAAAUUGAAAUUGAAGACAUAAAUUGGUCAAUCCUAAUGACUCUACAUGUUUUUCAUCCGGAUCAGUAGAUCAAAUUAACUAUUUUGAUUCAAUUAAAUGUUAUUAUUUAGGCUAAAGUUUAAUUAAGUCAAAAGUAGGCUUCAUUUAGGUCAAAUGCUAAAUAAGACCCAAGAGCUCAGGUCCAUGGGCUAAUCAACACACAGCCACAAAGUGCAACGGAGAACUCUAUAAAUAGAGAGGUUUCAUUUGUGAGAUUCAUAAAUUUUUACUCCAGAGAGCCUAAACAAAAUUCUCCCAACAACAAGAAUACUAAAUAGCUCCUUAAGACUGAAUUGCUCCUUGAAGCACAAGUUUUGUCACGCCUCGCCUCAAAGCAUUCUAUGCAAUGGAAUGGCGACGUACAUGACAACCUAGACAUUCUACGCGAUAUUUUCUGCAAAGUAAGGUGUUGAAUGUCUAGUAAGCGAAAUUAGAAGACAAACACAAGAAACUUAACGCAAAAUGUAAACAUUUAUAAACUUUGAGAAUUUCAUUGAUAAUUCUAAUAUACGUAUUUCCAUAACUUUUACAACAUUAGUCACAAAACUAGUAAACAUGACUCAACAAGACUUGGACUUCCCUCGCCUAGUUACUACUUGUUAUACGAGUAGACAAUGGUCACUACCAAAAUGAUGUGAUUAAGAAGACACGAUAGGCAAUCAAGACUGCUAGUUCAACGUCGGAGGUCCUUCGCAAAAUAAGGAAGAUAAAACAAAACAUUGGAAAGGUUAGACGAAAGUGCCUAGUGAGUGGGAUAUUUUAUCAAUCGCUUUAGUAAAAUAAAAUUUGAUUUAUUGCAACAUGAUCAUCUGCCCAAACAUGCGUUAUAGCAAAAAUAAAAUCAACUAUUACAAAUUAGAGAAACAUUUAUUCCGCCGUAUACAUCUAGCACAUAAAUGUGUAUUUUGCAAAAUCAUUCUGCAUAUCAAUGUUGUUUUAUACAAUUUUCUUGACUCAAGCGUUUACCACACUCUUUUGUCAAGUUACAGUCAUGCAGAAAAAUCUAGAUGCACUAGCAUAUAUCGUCAAUUUCCUUACGCCUAAUGCGUCUUUCGAUGUCAAAUCACAUAGCAAGCAAAAGACAUCCCAUAUCAGAUCACAUAGCAAGUAUGAGACAUCAUAUUCAAGAUCACACAAUAUGAAUAGGGCAUUCUAUCACACUGGGUACAAGAAUGUUUUAUUUCAGCUUCAUAACAUCUCAUAAGUCUCUUCCAAUUAAUACCAACGUCAUAAAUAACAUAUGUCACAUGCUUCGAUCAUGAUUACCAUAGGAGGUUCAGAAGAAUGGUUUUCGAGACGCUUACUUCCCUUGGAUAAAACAAAACUAGCCCCACACAUCCUAGAAUCUCAUAGGGUACUAUGUAUCAUGGAUUUAGUUUCAUUUUCUCCCAAAUCUAAUCAUUCCCUUCCAUGCUGAUAAAUUCAAGAAGACUUUGUCUCCCACCUCGAGUUCCAGUGCUCGGUGACGAUUCUCCACGUAACUCUUUUGUCUAUCGUGAGCAGUCUUCAAAUUUUCCUUGAUCAUGCUUAUGUUCUCUGUCGUCGCCUGGACUAACUCCGGUCUGUAUAAUUUUCUCUUACCAACUUCCUAGCAAAUUGGCGUUCUGCAAUGUCUUCUGUAUAACACCUCAAAGGGAGUCACUCCAAUGUUGGAAUGACAACUGUUGUAAUAGGCAAAUUCAAUCAAAGGAAACCGCUCGUUCCAACUUCCUUUGAAUUGUAGAAUGCAGGUCCUCAACAUAUCUUCCAAUGUUUGAAGGACUCUUUUAGAUGGACCAUUCGUUUGUAGGUGGAACAAAAACUUGCUUCAUGUAUUUUAUAUGCAUAUGUUCUAUCAUAUAUUUAUCAUAUUAGGCUCUAAGCGAGCGACUAUUUGGCGUUUGAAUAGGGUUAUGCGAUAAAAGGUGCAAUCCUAUUCAUGCGUUGCUAAUUUCUAAAGAUAUGCAUGUCAUGCAAGUUUUUCCUCUCCAUAACACAAGUGCAAGUGAAGAGUGGUUUCCUAGUAAGUCUAGGAUUGAACACAAAAAAUCUAAAGCUCCUAAUUGUCUUAUCGUGCAACUAAGUCAUGUGGUAUAAGCUAUACAGUAACAAAAUUUCAACUUUUGGACUCCAAUAAAGGCUAACCUUAAUUGUUUUUUCUUUGGAUGUUUUUAGUACAACAAACAAAAACAUUUAAAUACUCAAUUUAAUAAAAUACCCCCUCAUGUUCCCUUCCCUACUAUACUUUUUGUCCCCAACUAUUUUCUUAUAUUGUAGUUUGUAUCUACUUCUGAGUGCUUAAAUUAAUAAUAAAUUUUACUAACUCUCUCUUUUUUUAAAAAAAAUUAAUCUUAGUUUCAUUUUUCUUAGUCUCUUACUAAUUCUACCAAAGUUUUAUGUGGCAAAUUUUUUUAUUGUAUUCCCAAUAAAUUGUUAAUCUUAAGCCUUUGAUCGAUUCCCGACUAUUUUUUUAUUAUUAAAAGUACCUAGAUACUGUUGCAUUCCAAUUAGAUUGCCAUACCCAAAGUGAAUCAGUAAACCCUAAACAUUGUUAUAUCUUAACUUAAGUAUUUUGUUGGAGUGUUGUUGAUAUUGCUGUUAUAUCACUUGCUAGGUAGUAUAAGUACAUAAAUGUUGUAAAGGAAAAAGGCUAGAGUUUAUAGCUGAGAAAAUUGAUAAGUAUCCUAAGUAUGGUUUGUGUUAUUGUUAUAAUUAGGUGACCAAAGA